CGGAAUUCCAACUGAUAUCCACU
rnacentral:miRNA from 11 species